rnacentral:rRNA from 1 species
AUUGAACGCUGGCGGCAGGCCUAACACAUGCAAGUCGAGCGGAUGAAGGGAGCUUGCUCCUGGAUUCAGCGGCGGACGGGUGAGUAAUGCCUAGGAAUCUGCCAGGUAGUGGGGGAUAACGUCCGGAAACGGGCGCUAAUACCGCAUACGUCCUUAGGUAGAAAGUGGGUGAUCUUCGGACCUCACGCUAUCAGAUUAGCCUAGGUCGGAUUAGCUAGUUGGUGGGGUAACGGCCUACCAAGGCGACGAUCCGUAACUGGUCUGAGAGGAUGAUCAGUCACACGGGAACUGAGACACGGUCCAGACUCCUACGGGAGGAAGCAGUGGGGAAUAUUGGACAAUGGGCGAAAGCCUGAUACAGCCAUGCCGCGUGUGUGAAGAAGGUCUUCGGAUUGUAAAGCACUUUAAGUUGGGAGGAAGGGCAGUAAGUUAAUACCUUGCUGUUUUGACGUUACCAACAGAAUAAGCACCGGCUAACUUCGUG